CCCAGGAGCCACAAGUGGCAACCACUAUUAUUGGGCCUAAAGCGUCCGUAGCCGGUCUAGUAAAUUUUCUGUGAAAUCGUUAGGCUUAACUUAACGGAAUGCAGAAAAGACUACCAGACUAGGGACCGGGAUGCGUCAGAGGUAUUCCUGAGGGAGCGGUAAAAUGCUAUAAUCUUAGGAGGACCUCCAGUGGCGAAGGCGUCUGACGAGAACGGAUCCGACGGUGAGGGACGAAAGCCAGGGGAGCGAACCG
rnacentral:rRNA from 1 species